UACGUAGGGUGCGAGCGUGUCCGGAAUUAUUGGGCGUAAAGAGCUUGUAGGCGGUUUGUCGCGUCUGCUGUGAAAAUCCGGGGCUCAACCCCGGACUUGCAGUGGGUACGGGCAGACUAGAGUGUGGUAGGGGGAGACUGGAAUUCCUGGUGUAGCGGUGGAAUGCGCAGAUAUCAGGAGGAACACCGAUGGCGAAGGCAGCUCUCUGGGACGGUACUGACGCGAGACGCGAAAGCGUGGGGAGCGAACAGG
rnacentral:rRNA from 1 species